GGGAUUACCUCAGUAACGGCGAGUGAAGCGGUAACAGCUCAAAUUUGAAAUCUGCCGCAAGGCCGAGUUGUAAUUUGUAGAAGAUGCUUUGGGUAUGGCCCCGGUCUAAGUUCGUUGGAACACGACGUCAUAGAGGGUGAGAAUCCCGUAUGUGACUGGGUGCUUUUGCCUAUGUAAAGCUCUUUCGACNAGUCNAGUUGUUUGGGAAUGCAGCUCAAAAUGGGUGGUAUAUUUCAUCUAAAGCUAAAUAUUGGCCANAGACCGAUAGCGCACAAGUAGAGUGAUCGAAAGAUGAAAAGCACUUUGGAAAGAGAGUUAAACAGUACGUGAAAUUGUUGAAAGGGAAGCGCUUGCAACCAGACUUGCACGCUGUUGAUCAUCCAGGCUUCUGUUUGGUGCACUCAACUGCGUUCAGGCCAGCAUCGGUUUUGGUGGUGGGAUAAAGGCCUUGGGAAUGUAGCUUCUUUCGGGGAGUGUUAUAGCCCUCGGUGCAAUGCCGCCUACUGGGACCGAGGACCGCGCUUCGGCUAGGAUGCUGGCGUAAUGGUUGUAAGCGACCCGUCUUGAAACACGGACCAAGGAGUCUAACAUCUAUGCGAGUGUUUGGGUGUCAAACCCAUACGCGUAAUUAACGUGAACGGAGGUGAGAACCCUUAAGGGUGCAUCAUCGACCGAUCCUGAUGUCUUCGGAUGGAUUUGAGUAAGAGCAUAGCUGUUGGGACCCGAAAGAUGGUGAACUAUGCCUGAAUAGGGUGAAGCCAGAGGAAACUCUGGUGGAGGCUCGCA
rnacentral:rRNA from 1 species